rnacentral:sRNA from 1 species
AGCUGUGUUCAAUUUAAAACAUGGAUAUUAUUUAGGUCUUCAUUUCUUUUUAUGCAUGGGUGUGCUACCUCUUGCAUGGCAUGGAAGUUGAUUAACUUUAAAAAUAUGAAUUGGGUUGCAUACCACAUUGUUUUCCCUUUUGAAAUUUUUUUUAAGUUUCUUAAUUGCUGGAGACCAUUUUAGGGCCAUGGAUUUAAAAAGAAAUCAUUUUUUCCUUUAGAAAUGGAUGUUUGUUUUAAAAGUAAAUAGAAAAACAUUAAUCCUAAAUACUUUUGGAAUUAAUCUUGCAAUCAAUUGGAAACAGAAGGAACAUUGGUACUAUCAUUUCCAGAAAGAAAAGUUUUAUUUUAAUCUUAGAAUUAAAAUAUUUUAUAAAAUAUUAAUGUUAUUUUGGACUAGAAUGCAAAGAUUGCCUGGGAUUUUAAGGUUAAAAUACAAGCUUUUGUAAUAAUUUUACACAUGCAGAAGACUGUUUCAUGCUAUACCUUUCAGCUGCUCUCCUAGCUUAGUGAAUUAGGAAAGGACAGUGAGGAAAUGGUUGAGGACUCAGGAUGAGAAAGAAUCAAGUAUGUGGAGAGUAGAAAGAACAGCAUCCUAGACAAAGGAAGCAGCAUGUGUCAAAGCUGUGAGGCAAAAUGAGCUGGACCUUUUUGAGGAACUAAAGGAAAAGUAAUGUGAUGUGAGUGUAGAAAUGAAAGGGAAGAGUAACAGAAGAUCUGGUUGGAGAAGCAAGCAGGGUGAACCAUCACAUAAGGCCCUGGUAGCCGUGGUAAAGAGCUUGGAGUUUAAGUCACUGAAGUGAGUUAAGCAGGAAAGUGACAUAUCCUAGUUUACAUUUUUUCAAAAAUCAUUUUCAUUGCUAUGUGGAGCAUGGAUAGGAGAGGUAAGAGUUGAAAGCUGGGAGUCAGCUUCAGGAGACAAUUGUAGAAGUCCAAGUAGGGGGAUAGUGGUGGUGGUAGAAAAGAAUAAAAAUUAAUGAAUUCAUUGAAUGCAAAAUCACAAAAAUAUAAGUCAGAGCUCAUACUUCUUGUUUUUCUCUCUAGUAAUGUUUAGAGUUAUAAUAACAUCAUACUGAUUAUAUUUAAUUUAUAAAAUAAUUUCCAAAUUUUCCAAUGGCACUAAUUUUUUCUUUUCAAUUUUGAAGGAUUCUCUUACCACUCUGCUUAGUAAUUUCUCUUUUUUCUUUUUUACAUCUUUCAUAAUGUUGAAAAACUAAUUCUGCUUUCUUUUUAAGAGAAAAGAAACCUCGUUUAUUCCCUGUGAAAAUGAGAAGAUUUCUAAACAGCUCCACCUUUGUUACAAUAUUGUGAAAGAUCGUUAUGUUCGAGUUUCAAAUAACAAUCAAACCAUUUCUGGAUGGGAGAAUGGUGUGUGGAAAAUGGAAUCUAUAUUCAGAAAAGUUGAAACAGACUGGCACAUGGUAUAUUUGGCCCGAAAGGAAGGAUCAUCUUUUGCUUACAUUUCCUGGAAGUUUGAGUGUGGGUCGGUUGGCCUAAAAGUAGAUAGCAUUUCUAUUAGAACAAGUAGUCAAACUUUUCAGACUGGAACAAUAGAAUGGAAAUUGCGAUCUGAUACAGCACGAGUAGAACUGACAGGCGAUAACAGUCUUCACUCCUAUGCUGAUUUUUCUGGUGCCACUGAAGUUAUUUUGGAAGCAGAAUUAAGCAGAGGAGAUGGUGAUGUCGCUUGGCAACACACCCAGCUGUUUAGACAAAGCUUAAAUGACCAUGAAGAAAAUUGUUUGGAGAUAAUUAUAAAAUUCAGUGACCUUUGAGAACCUGAACAUUAUAGAAAAGCUGGCAAUAAUCAAGGACUUACUCAAGUAGUCUGUUGGUUCAGUGCAUGCUUAGUUGGCAGUUACCACCCUGUGCUAGCAUAUUUCUUUUGCUAGCUAUCCAUCAUGUAACCCUCAUGAAAAUUAUCUUUAUACGUGGACUAUAAUAAAAUAUUGAAUUAAAACCUUUCUUCCAUAUGUGACUAUAAUUUGGAGUAAAGUCUUGUUGACUCAAUAUGGGAUUUUAAUCUAAAAACUGUAAGUAUGGUUUUAAAAGUUAAAUAAUGAUAUUCAUGAUUAAAUGCUAUUCAUGAUUAUGAUAAAAUCUUGGGCUUAUGAUAGUAAUUUGACAUUUUCUGAUCAGCCAUUCAUUUCUUCAGAAGUGGUUAGAGUCUCCUAAUAUUUUUAAUUAAUGUGAAAGUACAGUAGCUCAUAAAUUAUAUAAUGCAUGAAAAUUUAUAUGAUUAUAAAUAUUCAGGCAUUUAAGAAAUAAAAUGAAGUAUUUUGCCUUA